rnacentral:rRNA from 1 species
GGCAGCAGUGGGGAAUAUUGGACAAUGGGCGAAAGCCUGAUCCAGCCAUGCCGCGUGAGUGAUGAAGGUCUUCGGAUCGUAAAGCUCUGUGGGAAGGGACGAAAAAGCCUAACCUAAUACGUUAGGUCUUGACGUACCUUCUUAGCAAGCACCGGCUAACUCCGUGCCAGCAGCCGCGGUAAUACGGAGGGUGCAAACGUUGCUCGGAAUUAUUGGGCGUAAAGCGCACGUAGGCGGUCCGCUAAGUCGGAUGUGAAAAGCCCUCGGCUUAACCGAGGAAGUGCAUCCGAAACUGACGGGCUAGAGUACGGAAGAGGGUUUCGGAAUUCCCCGGUGUAGAGGUGAAAUUCGUAGAUAUCGGAGGAACACCAGUGGCGAAGGCGGAAACCUGGGCCGAUACUGACGCUGAGGUGCGAAAGCGUGGGGAGCGAAAACAGGAUUAGAUACCCUGGUAGU